UUCGAUUUCUGAGAUCGGCCCUCGUGGUCUCUGAGCAGCCCAGCUUUUGAGAAAGCGAGCGCCUCUUCGAUUGAUUCGGAGAACGAUGCCUCAUCGAUUUUUUAGAAAGCAAUCAUGCUGGGGGUCUGGCUCUCGAAGAUUCGGGGAGCAGUGUCUCUUCGAUUUUUGAGAAAGUAAUCAUGUUGGGAGUCUGGCUCUCGAGAUUCGGAGGGCGGUGCCUCUUCGAUUUUGGAGCAAGCAAUCUUGUUGAGAGUGUUUUCUCGAAUGCGAGUAAAGGUUGGGCAUGUUUGCUAGUCUACCUUGCCACGAAGCACAGAGGUUGACACACAGGGACUUUCCAAUUAUCCAGCAGUGGUACUGUUCCUUUACCCUUGUGGGUAAUAAUAUGGUAGCUAGACCUUCAAAAUUUAUGGGUCUAAACUUUGUUAGUG
rnacentral:lncRNA from 1 species